AUGAGGAGAUUCUUCGGACCACAUAUCCUCCGAGAUGAAGAGGGCAGUCAGAUCCAGUACCUGACAUUCAAGUGUAACCAUCUGACACACGAAAAAGCAGUGCUUGAGAGGGAAUGUCUGGUAGCCAGGGAGAGGGAGAGCAGCCUGAAAAAUGAGCUAGAGGCUCUGGCCGUGCGGCUCCGCCAGCAAGACCAGGCCAACCUGGAGCUGAUGGUCAAACAUGACCAACUGCUCAGCAGGUUCCAUCAUGAACAGGAUCUGGUUGCGUUCUUGCGGAAGCGGGUAGAGGAGGUGGUGGGCGAGAGCUCCAGAGAUGCCGCGCUGCUGGGCCUACAGCUGGAGCAGGUCAACGCAGAGCUGCUGCAACUGCAGAGCUCCGAGGUGAAGCUCGACGGCCUGGUGGAGGCCAUGCACGCCGAGAGCCUGCAGAGAACUGCCCUGACCGAGAGCCUGCAGGCACAGCUGCAAAGUAAGGUAUGUGAGCUCGACGGGCUGCGCAGUGAGCAUCAGAGAAAAAUACAGGAACUGCAGUGCGAGAAUGAGAAACUGCGCGACUCCAGUCAGACUCGGGUGCAGGCCCUGCAGCGGCAGAACGAGUGCAGCCUGAGGAAGCUCCAGGAAACGGCGGAGCAGUUUGAAUGGCUGUGCGAACAGCAGCGCUACUGGAUGUGCUGUGUCAAGAGGUUCAAAGACUGCCUGUCAGAUGAGAAGAAGGCUCUUGCGCAGCAGGUGACCCGGUUGGAGAAGGAGGUGGCUGAGCUGAGGGGGAGCUCCCAGGGUUCAGGGGGUGCCACCGAGGCACCGGGCCUCCCCCCUGCUGACACAGACAGCCAGCACUGUACCAGAGUUCCGUCGUGGGAGUCAGAUGAGAUUGCCAACCUGCAAACCCAGGUAGACCGAUGGAGGGGGCUGUAUCUCCACAAGUUCAGCCAGUCGCCCACCUGCCAAGGGGGGCAUGCUGUCGACGGAUAUCAAAAACCUCCCUGAGGCCAGAAGACCAUGAAAUCUUUUUCCCCCUUCAACACAGCGGACGCACUCCUCACUUUUGGCGGUUUGCGGCUCUCCACCCAUCUGUUACGGACAACCACAUAACCUUGUUGUCCUGUUGUUUUUGUCAUCCGUCUCGCAACCGCCUUGUGACCGUACUAGUGAGAGUUAAAAGUAUAUAAAACAUGUUGUCUAUUUCCUUGUCAUGGCGUGGCCCUGCACAAUGUCUAGCCAUUGUCUGUUUCCAGGCGCAUCUGGUGAAACGUAUAAUCAACAAGUAAAAACGUUUAAAAACACCUGAGUAUGUCUGGUUGUUACGCAGCCAGUCCUGAUAAUGACUCUGUCGCUGAUGAGCUGAAAACAACACGCGCAGCUGAGAUUUCAGCCUGGCGAAUGUGCCCCCCCCCCCCUGUCUACAAUUAGCCAGAUGUUUGUUCAAAGACAUUGUCUAUCAACCACAGGAGGAUUCAAUGGUAUGACCUAAGGCCUUCUGGAAGGCAAAGGUGUAGCCCAGGAAUAAAUGUGUCUGUCAGCUGGAAACUAGCUUGCACACAAUAAAUAGCCGGGAACCCAACCAUGCAGAACCCCGUCCUCUGAGAGGGAUCCCUUUAGGGUGUAUUAAUAGGACAUUAUAGGUACUGCAGGAACGGCAUGUUUAUGUCCAAACUUACUCACAGCCAGGGAAAACACAUGAUAUACAUUCAAGACCAGGAUAUAUCCAUAAAAAAAAAAAGUGAGACUAGUUAAAAAGUGAGACCCAGAGACAUGCUGUGUGUGAAAUGUACAUUUGUCUACUCACCUGCUGGUCCAAAUCUGAAAUCCACACCUAAGUGUUAUAAAUAGAAGUGUCUGAGACUGGGAAUUGUUCACUUGUUGUAAAUAGGGCACUUUAUGGGUGACCCAGGGGUUAUGUAAGGAAUGCCUCCCCACGUCUCCCGAGAAAAACACUUCUCAACCCGCUCCUGACCUCCGAGUCUAACAAGCAGAAGGCUUAUUAGAUGUUGCUUGCUUAUUAAAUACAAUGCAUUCCUAAAACCUUGUGUUUCGUCUGACUCCUGACAAUCUUACGGAUGAGGUUUCACUUUAAAACGUGUUGGAAGUUGUUUACCGAAUGUCCGCCU
ensembl:lncRNA